UACGUAGGGUGCGAGCGUUGUCCGGGAUUAUUGGGCGUAAAGAGCUCGUAGGCGGUGUGUCACGUCGGCCGUGAAAACCUGCAGCUUAACUGUGGGCGUGCGGUCGAUACGGGCAUCACUGGAGUUCGGCAGGGGAGACUGGAAUUCCUGGUGUAGCGGUGAAAUGCGCAGAUAUCAGGAGGAACACCGGUGGCGAAGGCGGGUCUCUGGGCCGAUACUGACGCUGAGGAGCGAAAGCGUGGGGAGCAAACAGG
rnacentral:rRNA from 1 species